UACGAGGGGGGCAAAUGUUGUUCGGAAUCACUGGGCGUAAAGGGAGCGUAGGCGGGUGUUUAAGUUAGGUGUUUAAUCCUGGGGCCCAACCCCAGUCGUGCACCUAAAACUGGACAUCUUGAAUAGUGGAGAGGUCAGUGGAAUUGGGGGUGCAGCGGUGGAAUGCGUAGAGAUCCCCAAGAACACCAGUUGCGAAGGCGGCUGACUGGAAACAUAUUGACGCUGAGGCUCGAAAGCAUGGGGAGCAAACAGG
rnacentral:rRNA from 1 species